GACGAACGCUGGCGGCGUGCUUAACACAUGCAAGUCGAACGGAAAGGCCCUGCUCUUGUGGGGUGCUCGAGUGGCGAACGGGUGAGUAACACGUGAGUAACCUGCCCUUGACUUUGGGAUAACUUCAGGAAACUGGGGCUAAUACCGGAUAGGAGCUCCUGCUGCAUGGUGGGGGUUGGAAAGUUUCGGCGGUUGGGGAUGGACUCGCGGCUUAUCAGCUUGUUGGUGGGGUAGUGGCUUACCAAGGCUUUGACGGGUAGCCGGCCUGGGAGGGUGACCGGCCACAUUGGGACUGAGAUACGGCCCAGACUCCUACGGGAGGCAGCAGUGGGGAAUAUUGCACAAUGGGCGGAAGCCUGAUGCAGCAACGCCGCGUGCGGGAUGACGGCCUUCGGGUUGUAAACCGCUUUCGCCUGUGACGAAGCGUGAGUGACGGUAAUGGGUAAAGAAGCACCGGCUAACUACGUG
rnacentral:rRNA from 1 species